UCAUCCAUCAAUUCAUUGAGUAAAGGUGAACUUGAUCCCUUGUCCAGAUCAUUGACAAAGAUUUUAAACAGGACUGGCCCCAAUACUGAGUCCCUGGGAAUACCACUAGUGACUGUCCACCAGCUGGA